GGCCACAGCCAUAUCACCCUGCAGCCCAAGACCGGUUACUCACUGCAGCUAAGCAGGGCUGACCCUGGUCAGUACCUGGAUGGGAGACCACAUGGGAAAACUAGGAUGCUGUUGUGU
rnacentral:rRNA from 1 species